UUUGUACUCCUUCCGUUCGGAAUUACUUGUCUUGAAAAUGGAUGUAUCUAGAACUAAAAUACAUCUAGAUACAUCCAUUUCUUCGACAAGUAAUUCCAAACGGAGGGAAUACUUU
rnacentral:pre_miRNA from 1 species